GUGUUCACUUUGGCAGCACAUACACUAAAAUUGGAAUGAUACAAAGAAGAUUAGUAUGACGCCUGCGCAAGGAUGACAUGCAAAUUUGUGUAGUGUUCCAUAGUUUG